CUGCCCUAUCAACUUUCGAUG
rnacentral:siRNA from 1 species